rnacentral:rRNA from 1 species
UACGUAGGGUCCAAGCGUUAUCCGGAAUUACUGGGCGUAAAGAGUUGCGUAGGUGGCAUAGUAAGUAGAUAGUGAAAGCGUGUGGCUCAACCAUACAUCCAUUAUCUAAACUGCUAAGCUAGAGGACGAGAGAGGUAGAUGGAAUUCCUAAUGUAGGGGUAAUAUCCGUAGAUAUUAGGAGGAACACCGAUGGCGUAAGCAGUCUACUGGCUCGUUCCUGACACUAAGGCACGAAAGCGUGGGGAGCAAACAGG